rnacentral:rRNA from 1 species
AUACGUAGGUGACAAGCGUUAUCCGGAUUUACUGGGCGUAAAGGGCGUGUAGGCGGUCUUGCAAGUCAGAAGUGAAAUUCCUGAGCUCAACUCGGGCGCUGCUUCUGAAACUGCAGGACUUGAGUGCUGGAGGGGAUAGCGGAAUUCCUAGUGGAGCGGUAAAAUGCGCAGAUAUUAGGAAGAACACCGAGGGCGAAGGCGCCUCUCUGGACAGUAACUGAGGCUGAGGCGCGAAAGCGUGGGGAGAAAACAGAAUGAUAUACCCUGGGGUACCACGCCGUAAACGGUGAGUACAAGGGGUAGGGGGUAUCGACUCCCUCUGUGCCGCAGUUAACACAAUAAGUAUUCCGCCUGGGGAGUACGGCCGCAAGGUUGAAACUCAAAUGAAUUGACGGGG